rnacentral:misc_RNA from 1 species
GCAAACUUGGUCAUUUAGAGGAAGUAAAAGUCGUAACAAGGUUUCCGUAGGUGAACCUGCGGAAGGAUCAUUACCGAGUGCGGGCCCUCUGGGUCCAACCUCCCACCCGUGUUUAUUGUACCUCGUUGCUUCGGCGGGCCCGCCAUUCUGGCCGCCGGGGGGCUUGCCCCCGGGCCCGCGCCCGCCGAAGACACCCUCGAACUCUGUCUGAAGAUUGUAGUCUGAGUGGAAUUAUAAAUUAUUAAAACUUUCAACAACGGAUCUCUUGGUUCCGGCAUCGAUGAAGAACGCAGC